UGGCGGACGGGUGAGGAAUACAUCGGAAUCUACUCUGUCGUGGGGGAUAACGUAGGGAAACUUACGCUAAUACCGCAUACGACCUACGGGUGAAAGCAGGGGAUCUUCGGACCUUGCGCGAUUGAAUGAGCCGAUGUCGGAUUAGCUAGUUGGCGGGGUAAAGGCCCGCCAAGGCGACGAUCCGUAGCUGGUCUGAGAGGAUGAUCAGCCACACUGGAACUGAGACACGGUCCAGACUCCUACGGGAGGCAGCAGCC
rnacentral:rRNA from 1 species